UUUUCCCCCUGUAACUCUCGCUCCUCUUAGACCCAUACCCCAAACCUCUCUGUAAGCCUCUCUCGAAACCCCAAACGACUCCCUCUGAAAGUCUCUCUCCUCUCAGACCUCAAUCCCCAAACCCCAAACAUCUUUCAGACUAAAACCCAAAUCCCAAUCUUCGAAACCCCAAACACAGACGGCUCCUCCAAGCUCCAUCAUAGACGGCGUCUCCAAGCUGUCCUCUGAUCUUCCUCUCGGCAUUCUACGACUAUCAAGUGUUGAGAUUGACGAUUCUUCAAAGCUUCAUCGGAGACGUUCUUCCGAUCUUCCUCUCCAUCUACGAUUGAAGAUGAAUGCAAAGAUGAAUUUCAUCAAUAUUUGAAACCAGAAUUUUUGUAUGGACACGAAGAAGAGUGAUUCUUGUUACUCAAAAAUUAAUACUCAAUUUCAAUGCAGUCAAGGUUUAAGGCCUUCUACAUGGUUUGCUUUCUUGACCCUUUUCUUUUUUAUAAUUGAUUAUGUUUUAAUUUUGUUGUGGGUUUGCUUUCAUAACAGUUGAUUACUUUUAUUUUCUCUUGGCUCUCCUUUGUCACGAGUUGUUCAGACUUAAAAUCCUUUAGUGGUACUGAAAAGGAGGCUCAAAGUCUAUUGUGUGUACUGAAAAGUCUAAGUAUCCCAAAUACAGACAUGAUACUCUUGCAGGGCUAGUCCAUAAAAAUUUGUUAUUCCUUUAGCCAAGUACUACAAGACAGUGUGUUGAAACCAAAUAUCUCUUGGCAUGCAUUUUCAUAUGAUGUUUGAAGCCGAAGAAUCUGGAACAAGAAGGUAUAUGGGCACAACCACAGAUAUUAAUUAUCUUGAUCCCGCUAGAUGGAAGAAUUCACAAUGGCGUAAUUUGUAGGUUGGUUGGGACGAAUCAAUUGCUGGGGAAAGGCAUAAUAGGGUCUCAAUCUAGGAGAUUGAACCUGUAAUUUUUAUUUGAGUAAAUGAUUCCUUUUUUGAGUUAUUAAUUAUUUACUUUGUAAAUCUAGUUAUAUUUUUUUAAAGUCAAGACGAUUAUGUUUAUAGACAAGACUGUGAUUUUUGUGUGAUUUUUGAGUCAAGUAGUAGGGUUAUAUUUGGCUAAAAUUUGUAUUAUUUGAUUUGUAAAUACUUUGUAUAAGUAU